GAGACUGCCGGCUUUUCUGAGCGCUCCAGCUACAGCUUGAAGGUGCAGAGGCUGUCACCAGACUGGUUGCCCAACGAAAUGGUUUAAAAUAUGUUAUGAAGGUGGCAUGCUGUGGUCUGUGGUGGGCUAUGAAUUCUGCUGGAGUCCGUGCGCUUUGCAGCAGUGCUGCUUCUUCUCACAUCAGGAAAAGGCACACUGGGACAGAGCAAUGAUGUCAGAGAAGGACAAUCACAUCUCUGCAGACUUUGAAGAAGCAGGUGACAUCAAG